AACGCGAAGAACCUUACCUGGGCUCGAAGCACAGUGGACCGGGAUGGAAACAUCCCUUUUCGCAAGAACUGCCGUGGAGGUGCUGCAUGGCUGUCGUCAGCUCGUGUCGUGAGAUGUUGGGUUAAGUCCCGCAACGAGCGCAACCCUUAUCGUUAGUUGCCAACGGGUCAAGCCGGGAACUCUAGCGAAACCGCCUCGGAUAACGGGGAGGAAGGUGGGGAUGACGUCAAGUCCUCAUGGCCUUUAUGUCCAGGGCUACACACGUGCUACAAUGGUCGGUACAAACCGUCGCAAACCCGCGAGGGGGAGCUAAUCGGAAAAGCCGACCUCAGUUCGGAUUGGAGUCUGCAACUCGCACUCCCAUGAAGCUGCGAAUGCGCUAGUAAUAAACGAGAUUCACCCANCGCCUGCCGGGGCAAUAACGUUACCCCGGGUGUUUGUACCACCCCG
rnacentral:rRNA from 1 species